rnacentral:tmRNA from 1 species
UUGCAGGCCGAGGUGCCUCACCCUCGUUAAUAAGGGGCAACUUUUACAAGUGCCAAAAACACUUACACACCGGCCUACGCCCUGGCCGCGUAAUCGCGGUACCAAGGCUUAAAGCCAACUGAUCGAUUUAAUCGAUCACGUCUGUCCCUCACUUUUCCCGAGAGGGAGGAGCCAGGCGUCGACAAAGUCGGGAUGCGGCCGGCCAAUGCCGAUACAACCGGUCAAAGAUGAAUCGGCUGGCGAGUUCCAGAGUCUGUCGCUCGAUAAUGGGCUCGCGAGAUAAUUAGGGGCGACUAUGCUUGUAGACGCUUCUGGUCGAACUUUUUGGACGCGGGUUCGAUUCCCGCCAUCUCCACCA